rnacentral:rRNA from 1 species
GACGUAGGGGGCGAGCGUUAUCCGGAUUUAUUGGGCGUAAAGCGCACGCAGGCGGUCGACCAAGUUUGAGGUGACGGCUCCUCGCUUAACGAGGAGAGGGCCGCAAAGACUGGCCGACUUGAGAGCGAGAGAGGGACAUGGAACUCCAGGUGGAGCAGUGAAAUGCGUAGAGAUCUGGAAGAACACCAAAGGCGAAGGCAGUGUCCUGGCUCGUAUCUGACGCUAAUGUGCGAAAGCUAGGGGAG